GAAGGAAGAUGAUACAGGAGUCAGUCUGCUCAUUCCUUGCAAAGGAGCAAUCUGGUCUAAGGGUCUGAACAUCAAAGAAGUGGUGACUGCUCCAUCCCUCGCAGUGUUCAAGGCUUAUGCAGUGUGUUCACACACACACAAUGAUGGGGUCUUCCAAAGCAGUAAAAGAACUACAGUUAGAUUGGGAACUCUGUAGUGCAAAGGCAGCUUUGGCAAGGCUGGGUGGCAAGAGACAGUCCAGUGGGAAGUUCUUAGCUGCCAACCAAGACAACCUGACAGGCUCUACAGACCUCUUUUAGGAAGCGCUCAUUGGAGGUUUUGAAGUUCUUGAGCCAGGAGGAUGCUUGCAGAGGCUGAUCAAGACGUUCUUUCUUGUAGGAAGACUGCAGCAGCUCCCUGCAGUUCUUCACCCAGAGAUGAGCUGAAAGCAAAGUUAAACAGUUGCUUUUCUUUU